rnacentral:rRNA from 1 species
AGCAGUCGCCGCGGUAAUACGUAGGGUGCAAGCGUUAAUCGGAAUUACUGGGCGUAAAGCGUGCGCAGGCGGUUCGUUAAGACAGAUGUGAAAUCCCCGGGCUUAACCUGGGAACUGCAUUUGUGACUGGCGGGCUAGAGUAUGGCAGAGGGGGGUAGAAUUCCACGUGUAGCAGUGAAAUGCGUAGAGAUGUGGAGGAAUACCGAUGGCGAAGGCAAUCCCCUGGGCCUGCACUGACGCUCAUGCACGAAAGCGUGGGGAGCAAACAGGAUUAGAUACCCGUGUAGUCCCUGUCUCUUAUAC